rnacentral:rRNA from 1 species
AUUGAACGCUGGCGGCAUGCCUUACACAUGCAAGUCGAACGGUAACGGGCCUUCGGUGCCGACGAGUGGCGAACGGGUGAGUAAUGCAUCGGAACGUACCUUUCAGUGGGGGAUAACGUAGCGAAAGUUACGCUAAUACCGCAUAUUCUGUGAGCAGGAAAGCAGGGGAUCGCAAGACCUUGCGCUGAUUGAGCGGCCGAUGUCAGAUUAGCUAGUUGGUGAGGUAAAGGCUCACCAAGGCGACGAUCUGUAGCGGGUCUGAGAGGAUGAUCCGCCACACUGGAACUGAGACACGGUCCAGACUCCUACGGGAGGCAGCAGUGGGGGAAUUUUGGACAAUGGGGGGCAACCCUGAUCCAGCCAUGCCGCGUGAGUGAAGAAGGCCU